UGCAGCCGCGUCAAAUUCAGCACUGCCCCUGCCGUGGCACCCGCUGGCCCAAUCGGCUGCCACAUUAACACUGCUGCCCAUGGGCCCCGUUUCCUUCCCGUGGAUAUCGGGGAUAAAUGUGUGCAACGAACACCU